rnacentral:lncRNA from 1 species
ACAAUACUGAAGAAAAAAAAACAUAAAAAAAUUCCAUUUCUUUCUGUUCCUUUCUAUUUUUAUUUUUUUUUCAUCAUCAUUAGGAAUCUGUGAUAAGUUAGUUGGACUGGGAAAGGACUGUAAAAGAGAAGGCAGAAGCUAGUUCCAUAAAUGCACUGCACUUCAGGAAAACAAACCAUGCUUUCAUGCUGUCAUCAACACAGAUUCACAAACGAAACUGGCAUAAUUUGGACACUACAAUCAUUCCUGUAUUGUUUCAGAGUAUGCUCUGAUCCUCUUUGGGCUGACUACUUCUAUGACUGAUGAUUUAUCAGCUAAUUUCAUGAGAAGCCACAGCUUUAAAGUUCUGUUUCAUACUCCAGAACUGUGAAAAGCCUCAAGUGAGAUGAAGGUAAGUAACUGAGGUAUCUCUUAUCUUCUUAGACCUUUUUGAACCAUAUGAUCAUGUGAUAAAUCAGGGGGAAGGACCUUAUCUUAUGAAGUUUUUAGACAUGUCUUCAGCUCAGACCAGG